rnacentral:sRNA from 1 species
UACCCUAUGCGUUCCUUGCGGAGGUACGC